UUUGGGUCUUACAAUUAGUCUCUUUAAUUCUCUUCCUCCGCUACUCUUUCUUGCUCUUUGGGUUUUCCUUUGUUAUUCCUUCCCUGCUUGGAAGUGCCAUAUCUCCGUUUGGUGAGUUCUCAACCUUUUUCUGCGCUUCUCUUCUUCUUCUUCAGUCUUUCAGUAUUGGAUCUAUUUGUUUUGAAGUGUGAUUGUUUUUUUCUUUUGUGAGAGUGCCGGGAUUGUUGUUAUUAUGGUCUUUGAUGGCGUGAAAAAGGUAUCGCAAUUUCCAGCAAAGCAGAGAAGAAGCCAGGUUUGGGAUUUAGCAGUUCAGAUAGAAGUUUAGACUGUGAUGGUUCUCUUCGAGAUGACAGGCAAUUUAGGCCAACUGCUUGAUAUCUAGAUUGGUAAUUGAAGCUUAAAAUGAUGUUUCACCGCAAAGCUUUGACUAACUCGAUUCGUAUUUGUCAAACCAAUUGACAAACAGAAAAUUUCUCAUGUCUCUUUAGUCGAAAAACUCAUGCGGCCUGAACGAAAUUGCUAAGCGAGGAUUAAUCCAAUUCCAGGUCAUACCGUCUCUCUCUCUUUUUCCCUCUCUACGUUAUUAUUGUAUCUUCAAAUCUAUGUUUACUUUCUUGGGGAAAUGAAUGAAUCGAAAAUCUUUGAUAGCAGCCUACA